UUCUUUCACAGAACACAGUCAGCUUUCUGAAGAACAGGAUGACCCUGUGAAUAACAUGGUCGUCAUUGGCAUAAUCCUGACGUUGCUUGGGAAAAACUGUUUUGUCUUAGGUUACUUGUUCUGCAAAAACCGGAUGUGGUUAAUGUGCUUAAAAGCGGUCCUACACAAAGGGUCGCGGCUGCUCUCUGUAAGUGCGGCCAGCGUUCCGGGCGUUACACCCAGACCAGCGGACACAGCCACUGCCACCCAGGCUCACCCAAUGGCCGCACCUGAGGGCAGUGCGGCCGACCUGCCCGAGGUGAAGGCCGUGGCAGCACGUACCUCCCUCUGCCACCGCGGUGCAGGCUGGGCCAGGCUGGCGGGCCGUGAUCGCCUGGAGCUGCUGUGAGAAUUGAAAAAUUCUGAGCUCUGUAGCUCUAGGAAGAGAAGCAUUAGUUCAGAAGGAGCAAGUGGACUCUGUUAAGAAUACAUUUGACUCUCACAAUGCGGUUAGGAAAACUGAAGGGAGGUAUUUCUCGGAGCACAAGCCAAGGAAAGACGUCUGAGAACCAGCGCAAAAGAGGCUGGCAGCGGCAGAAAUGGGGAAUGACUAUUCGGUUUGACUCAAACUUGAGUAGACGGAGAAGAGGCUUGGAUGAGAAGCCCUAUAAAUGUAAAGAAUGUGAAAAAAGUUUCAGUCAGAGCUCAACCCUUUUUCAACACCAGAAGAUCCAUACUGGAAAGAAAUCCCAUAAAUGUGCUGAUUGUGGGAAAAGUUUCUUUCAGAGUUCUAAUCUCAUACAGCAUCGACGGAUCCAUACUGGGGAAAAGCCCUAUAAAUGUGAUGAGUGUGGAGAAAGGUUUAAACAGAGCUCAAAUCUCAUUCAGCACCAGAGAAUUCAUACCGGAGAAAAACCCUAUCAGUGCGAUCAGUGCGGCCGAUGUUUCAGCCAGAGCUCCCACCUUAUUCAGCAUCAGAGAACCCACACGGGGGAGAAGCCCUACCAGUGCAGUGAAUGUGGCAAAUGCUUCAGCCAGAGCUCUCACCUCAGGCAGCACAUGAAGGUGCACAAAGAAAAGUCACGCAAAACUCCAGGCAAAAACAUUAGGGCAAAAACUCACUUAGUACCUUGGAAAACUGGCACAAAAAGGAAGUCGGUGGCUCGCCUCCGCUAAGGGACAAAGAAAAAGGAAAAGCUCCCUUAGAACUAGGGAUACUUUACAAUAGAGCACGUAAACACCGUUCUUUCCUAGCAUGGAGACAUUGAAACACAGGGGUUUAAUGCCAUCAGGCCAGGCAGGUGGAAGGAAAUGACCUGAGUCCCACUGUUCUUGUCUCUCUUUUAUGUAACCUGGAGUACAGAGAACUGAAAACAUUUCUUGCGAGAAUAUAAACUUCUUGACCUUAUUUGAAAGUGUUUCCUGCAUAAUUUUGACAAGAACAAUCAUGUUUUAAUGACGUAUAGAAAUGUAGGAAUUUCAGUAACCAGUUUUAAGACUUUCUGUUGAAGGAAUAAUUAAAAAGGAAAAGAAGUUAAUUCCAUUGGUUUUUGGAGUUCUGUAACAUGAAGUUUUAUGUGUAAAGUCUUAUAGUAUAUUAAUCAUCAGUUUGUAAGUAUGACUCAAGAUUCACUAUAUUAAAAUAUAUUGAUUGUUCACUGAUUCUUAAGGCCUAUCACUAUUUUAUUUUCUUUCCCCUUGGACAGCUGUUAAAUCAGUAAAUUUCCUGUUUUUCACCAAAUUCUUAUUAAAAGAUACUCUAAAAGUCAAAGUGAAAACUGAAUUAAACCACAAGUUAUUACACUGUGUCAGUUGUUUUCCAGAAGUUAGAAUGCAUUUAUCCAUCUCUAUGCCUUUGACUUUUGAAGUUCUCUUGUGCUCUGACAAACCGAAAUAGCAUUUUAGACCUACAUGAAUAAAUAAGUAAAACAUGUAACCAAAACAAUCUCAACUUGCUAAUUAAAAAUCUACAAUGCACACACCUCCCUGCCUUCCCCUUGGAGAACUUUAAGUAAUAGUAAGUUACCUAAAGCAAAAAUUACUUAAUCCAAAUGUAGCUCAAUGUAGAUUUUGAAAUCUAAGUUAAACUUUUCUGAGUGAAAUUAAUUAUUUACAGUCUAGCUAACAGCUACCAUCAGAACAGUACUGUGUCCCACAUUCUGUUCAGCAGCCUUCAGCUCAAAUUUUAAUUCUAUUAAAUGUUAACAUUCUGAUUUUUUUUGUAUCUUUUAUAAUCAUGUCCGUUUCUGGUGUAUUAAUGACAAUUAUUCAUAAAAAUUAAAAAAUGGAAUAUUUUGCAUACUACCACCUUUUGUUUAUUUUUCUCCCGGGAAAUUUUAAGGAUUUAAGCAACAUCUAAAAGCACAGCUUUGGAAGAAUCAUUUGUUUUGCCUGUUUUUUAUUUUCUCAAGCUUGAACUUUGUCUUCCUCCUGGCCUUGUACUUAGUGUAGAGUCUUAGAAGAUGGCCUUGCUGGAACUAGUUUCAUCCAGCGGGAUAUCCACCGAGUUGUGUGACUCUGAGGUGAUUGCCGUUCUCUCUCACAAAAGACUUGAUCUUUGCUUAGCAAGUGUCCUGUUAACCGGCCAAGCCACUUGGAAGCAGGGCCAUUUGGAGGAUCUACCAUUCCUGUGUAGCAGUUUGUGUCUGGAGUAACUUCUGACUGGACCAACACCACUUUCUUAACUGUAAUGAGUUUUGCAAUUUUGACAGCACCACAGGGUCCUGCAACAGAAAGACCUUUGUAUGUUGUUAAAUUUCAUAGUUUACCUUUUUAUCCUGAAUAAACUUCUCUGUUCUCUAUAAAAAUAAAGCAAAUACUCCAGA